GAGAAGUUCUCUUUUGGGAUAGACGGAGCAGACUUGGAGGCAAUCAGACAGUUUGUGUUUGCCGGGUUUCCAACCACCAAAACCUGAUGGGAAGAAUCAAGAAUCUCUCUGUGAGUCGGGCAACACUUGUUACACACAGCUCAGAAACAGAGGAGGAUCAAUCAUAAUAUCAAGUAGAUUCUGUCA